GGAGAAAUUCGGAUUAAUACCCCAUAACCACUGCGUUUUCGCAUGGGGAAGCAGUAAAAAUUACGAUGGUUAAGGAUGGGCAUGCGUGACCAUAAGCUAGUUGUGAGGUAACGCUCCCCAAGGCGACGAUGUUUAGGGGGCCUGAGAGGGUAGUCCCCCACCACUGGUACUGAGACACGGACCAGACUCUUACGGGAGGCAGCAGUGAGGAAUAUUGCGCAAUGGACGAAAGUCUGACGCAGCCAUGCCGCGUGCAGGAUGACGGUCCUAUGGAUUGUAAACUGCUUUUGUAUAGGAAGAAACUUAACUACGUGUAGUUGACUGACGGUACUAUAUGAAUAAGCAUCGGCUAACUCCGUGCCAGCAGCCGCGGUAAUACGGAGGAUGCAAGCGUUAUCCGGAUUUAUUGGGUUUAAAGGGUGCGUAGGCGGAAACUUAAGUCAGUGGUGAAAUCCUGCAGCUUAACUGUAGCACUGCCAUUGAUACUGAGAUUCUUGAGUACGGUUGAGGUAGGCGGAAUGUGUAAUGUAGCGGUGAAAUGCUUAGAUAUUACACAGAACACCGAUUGCGUAGGCAGCUUACCAAGCCGCAACUGACGCUGAGGCACGAAAGCGUGGGGAUCGAACAGGAUUAGAUACCCUGGUAGUCCACGCUGUAAACGAUGAUCACUAGCUGUUGGCGAUAGAUAGUCAGCGGCAAAGCGAAAGCAUUAAGUGAUCCACCUGGGGAGUACGGCGGCAACGCUGAAACUCAAAGGAAUUGACGGGGGCCCGCACAAGCGGAGGAACAUGUGGUUUAAUUCGAUGAUACGCGAGGAACCUUACCUGGGCUUAAAUGUAGAACGACGUUUCGGGAAACCGGAAUUCCCUUCGGGGCGUUUUACAAGGUGCUGCAUGGUUGUCGUCAGCUCGUGCCGUGAGGUGUCGGGUUAAGUCCCAUAACGAGCGCAACCCUUAUCGUUAGUUGCCAGCGGGUAAUGCCGGGGACUCUAGCGAAACUGCCGGUGUAAACCGAGAGGAAGGUGGGGAUGACGUCAAAUCAGCACGGCCCUUAUGUCCAGGGCUACACACGUGUUACAAUGGUCGGUACAGAGGGCAGCUACUGGGUGACCAGAUGCAAAUCUCGAAAGCCGAUCCUAGUUCGGAUCGAAGUCUGCAACUCGACUUUCGUGAAAGCUGGAUUCGCUAGUAAU
rnacentral:rRNA from 1 species